AAACUAGGAUUAGAUACCCUAUUAUUUAAAAUAUAAUUAUAAAUACUUAAGUAGUAGUAGUUAUGUUCUUGAAACUUAAAAAAUUUGGCGGUAUUUUAGUCUAUCCAGAGGAACCUGUUUUGUAAUCGAUAAUCCACGAUGGACCUUACUUAAGUUUGUAAUCAGUUUAUAUACCGUCGUUAUCAGAAUAUUUUAUAAGAAUAAAAAUAUUCAAUAAUUUAUAUUAAAAUUUAUAUCAGAUCAAGGUGUAGCUUAUAUUUAAGUAAUAAUGGGUUACAAUAAAAAUAUUUAAACGAAUAAAAUAAUGAAAAAAUUUUUGAAGGUGGAUUUGGCAGUAAAAUUAUAAAGAUUAAUAAUUUGAUUUUAGCUCUAAAAUAUGUACACAUCGCCCGUCGCUCUUAUUAUUAAGGUAAGAUAAGUCGUAACAUAGUA
rnacentral:rRNA from 1 species